rnacentral:lncRNA from 1 species
AGACCUUUACUAUUUAUUAUUUUAGUUUCUUCUUCCUUUUUUCAAUCUAGUAUGGUUUAUAUAUUUAUGUUGUUACUUAAAUAAUAAUUAAUUGUAAGCGGUCUAGUGGAGAGAACUUAGAUUCUAAGUCUUGAGAGGAGUGGGUUCGAUACUCGUAUGUGGCACUUUGUAGUAUUUCAUUUUCUUUUAGCAUUUCAUUUUUAUUUUUUAGUAUUUUAUUAUCUUUUAGCAUUUUGUUUCUUUUAAUAAUUUUUUUAUGUCCAUGUUUUUUUAUUAAAACCAUCAUGCAUUCGAAACCAUUUUUUAACUUAUAAAAAAAAUCAUAAUUUUCUCGAUUUAAUAUCGAGCCCUUUUUCACACCCUUGUAAGUCGAUUGCUUUUU